CCUACGGGGGGCAGCAGUGAGGAAUAUUGGUCAAUGGGCGCGAGCCUGAACCAGCCAAGUAGCGUGAAGGAUGACUGCCCUACGGGUUGUAAACUUCUUUUAUAAAGGAAUAAAGUGAUGCACGUGUGCCUUUUUGUAUGUACUUUAUGAAUAAGGAUCGGCUAACUCCGUGCCAGCAGCCGCGGUAAUACGGAGGAUCCGAGCGUUAUCCGGAUUUAUUGGGUUUAAAGGGAGCGUAGAUGGGUUGUUAAGUCAGUUGUGAAAGUUUGCGGCUCAACCGUAAGAUUGCAAUUGAUACUGGCAGGCUUGAGUGCAGGAGAGGUAGGCGGAAUUCGUGGUGUAGCGGUGAAAUGCGUAGAUAUCACGAGGAACACCGAUUGCGAAGGCAGCUUACUAAACUGCAACUGACGUUGAUGCUCGAAAGUGUGGGUAUCAAACAGGAUUAGAUACCCGGGUAGUC
rnacentral:rRNA from 1 species